AUUGAACGCUGGCGGCAGGCCUAACACAUGCAGGUCGAACGGUAACAGGAAGCAGCUUGCUGCUUCGCUGACGAGUGGCGGACGGGUGAGUAAUGUCUGGGAAGCUGCCUGAUGGAGGGGGAUAGCUACUGGAAACGGUAGCUAAUACCGCAUAAUGUCGCAAGACCAAAGAGGGGGACCUUCGGGCCUCUUGCCAUCGGAUGUGCCCAGAUGGGAUUAGCUUGUUGGUGGGGUAACGGCUCACCAAGGCGACGAUCCCUAGCUGGUCUGAGAGGAUGACCAGCCACACUGGAACUGAGACACGGUCCAGACUCCUACGGGAGGCAGCAGUGGGGAAUAUUGCACAAUGGGCGCAAGCCUGAUGCAGCCAUGCCGCGUGUAUGAAGAAGGCCUUCGGGUUGUAAAGUACUUUCAGCGGGGAGGAAGGGAGUAAAGUUAAUACCUUUGCUCAUUGACGUUACCCGCAGAAGAAGCACCGGCUAACUCCGUG
rnacentral:rRNA from 1 species